UACGUAGGGGGCAAGCGUUGUCCGGAAUCAUUGGGCGUAAAGAGCGUGUAGGCGGCCCGAUAAGUCCGCUGUGAAAGUCCAGGGCUCAACCCUGGAAGUGCCGGUGGAUACUGUCGGGCUCGAAUCCGGAAGAGGUGAGUGGAAUUCCUGGUGUAGCGGUGAAAUGCGCAGAUAUCAGGAGGAACACCAAUGGCGAAGGCAGCUCACUGGGACGGUAUUGACGCUGAGACGCGAAAGCGUGGGGAGCAAACAGG
rnacentral:rRNA from 1 species